CAGAAUACAAGGUUGGGAAAAAUAAAGAGACUUGAGAAGUUGGCUAGCAAUGUUAGACGGAUCUCACAAGCAACAACAACAUCUAUUGGUCAAGCAUCAUCUACUUUGAAUGAAUCAGGAUACGUUGAGGGAAAUCUUUCAGGAGCCCCAGGAGCAAAUUUUGGUUAUGGAAAC